GGUCCCAUGGAGUUUCAUACAUUUUCCAGAGUUACAAAACCUGGCUAACACUGAGUCAAGUUAGGAAUCUCAAUCAAUAUCUUUGACCAACUUAAAUUGUUUGUAGAAUGUUUGAUGUACCUAAGAGUGAGUAAAAUGUGAAAGUCAGUUGCUGGAAUUGGUUGAAUGAGAAUGUCGGGUGAAGAAGGCAAGACAUGCAACAGAGGAAGAGGAAUGUAUCAUCCAAGAGGGGAAAAGAGAAAUACUAUUACUAUCUGUUGUCUUGGUGGUUCUCAUGAGGAGUGAGAGGAGAAUUGCUAACCUGGAAGAAGAUCAGAGAAACACACUAUACAGUCCUGCAGUCCUUCACCAAGUAGCACGGGAUAGAAGCUCUGAACAUCAGCAAAAUUUUGAGGCCUAAAGUGUAAGAAUUGCUAGAAAUGCUGUGG
rnacentral:lncRNA from 1 species